GGUAAGGCUCACCUAGGCGACGAUCCGUAGCUGGUCUGAGAGGACGACCAGCCACACUGGAACUGAGACACGGUCCAGACUCCUACGGGAGGCAGCAGUGGGGAAUUUUGGACAAUGGGCGCAAGCCUGAUCCAGCCAUGCCGCGUGAGUGAAGAAGGCCUUCGGGUUGUAAAGCUCUUUCAGCCGGAAAGAAAACGCACAGGUUAAUAACCUGUGUGGAUGACGGUACCGGAAGAAGAAGCACCGGCUAACUACGUGCCAGCAGCCGCGGUAAUACGUAGGGUGCGAGCGUUAAUCGGAAUUACUGGGCGUAAAGCGUGCGCAGGCGGUUUUGUAAGACAGAUGUGAAAUCCCCGGGCUUAACCUGGGAACUGCAUUUGUGACUGCAAGGCUAGAGUACGGCAGAGGGGGGUAGAAUUCCACGUGUAGCAGUGAAAUGCGUAGAUAUGUGGAGGAAUACCGAUGGCGAAGGCAGCCCCCUGGGUCGAUACUGACGCUCAUGCACGAAAGCGUGGGGAGCAAACAGGAUUAGAUACCCUGGUAGUCCACGCCCUAAACGAUGUCAACUAGGUGUUGGGGGAGGAGACUUUCCUUAG
rnacentral:rRNA from 1 species